rnacentral:rRNA from 1 species
AGCGAACGCUGGCGGCAGGCCUAACACAUGCAAGUCGAACGAACCUUUCGGGGUUAGUGGCGGACGGGUGAGUAACACGUGGGAACGUGCCUUUAGGUUCGGAAUACCUCAGUGAAACUUGUGCUAAUACCGAAUGUGCCCUUCGGGGGAAAGAUUAAUCGCCUUUAGAGCGGCCCGCGUCUGAUUAGCUAGUUGGUUGAGGUAAUGGCUCACCAAGGCGACGAUCAGUAGCUGGUCUGAGAGGAUGAUCAGCCACAUUGGGACUGAGACACGGCCCAAACUCCUACGGGAAGCAGCAGUGGGGAAUCUUGCGCAAUGGGCGAAAGCCUGACGCAGCCAUGCCGCGUGAAUGAUGAAGGUCUUAGGAUUGUAAAAUUCUUUCACCGGGGACGAUAAUGACGGUACCCGGAGAAGAAGCCCCGGCUAACUUCGUG